UACGUAGGGUGCGAGCGUUGUCCGGAAUUAUUGGGCGUAAAGAGCUUGUAGGUGGUUUGUCGCGUCUGCUGUGAAAAUCCGGGGCUCAACCCCGGACUUGCAGUGGGUACGGGCAGACUAGAGUGUGGUAGGGGAGACUGGAAUUCCUGGUGUAGCGGUGGAAUGCGCAGAUAUCAGGAGGAACACCGGUGGCGAAGGCGGGGUCUCUGGGCCGAUACUGACGCUGGAGGAAGCGAAAGCGUGGGGGAGCGAACAGG
rnacentral:rRNA from 1 species